UACGUAGGGUGCGAGCGUUAAUCGGAAUUACUGGGCGUAAAGCGUGCGCAGGCGGUUUUGUAAGCCAGAUGUGAAAGCCCCGGGCUUAACCUGGGAAUGGCAUUUGGGACUGCAAGGCUUGAGUGCGGCAGAGGAGACUGGAAUUCCUGGUGUAGCAGUGAAAUGCGUAGAUAUCAGGAGGAAUACCGAUGGCGAAGGCAGGUCUCUGGGACGGUACUGACGCUGAGACGCGAAAGCGUGGGGAGCGAACAGG
rnacentral:rRNA from 1 species